rnacentral:rRNA from 1 species
GAACGCUGGCGGCAUGCCUUACACAUGCAAGUCGAACGGCAGCACGGGAGCAAUCCUGGUGCGAGUGGCGAACGGUGAGUAAUAUAUCGGAACGUGCCCGGUCGUGGGGGAUAACGUAGCGAAAGCUACGCUAAUACCGCAUACGAUCUACGGAUGAAAGCGGGGAUCGCAAGACCUCGCGCGAUUGGAGCGGCCGAUAUCAGAUUAGGUAGUUGGUGAGGUAAAGGCUCACCAAGCCGACGAUCUGUAGCUGGUCUGAGAGGACGACCAGCCACACUGGGACUGAGACACGGCCCAGACUCCUACGGGAGGCAGCAGUGGGAAUUUUGGACAAUGGGCGCAAGCCUGAUCCAGCAAUGCCGCGUGCAGGAUGAAGGCCUUCGGGUUGUAAACUGCUUUGUACGGAACGAAACGGUGAGCUCUAAUACAGUUGCUAAUGACGGUACCGUAAGAAUAAGCACCGGCUAACUACGUG